rnacentral:rRNA from 1 species
CCUACGGGCGGCAGCAGUGAGGAAUAUUGGUCAAUGGACGAGAGUCUGAACCAGCCAAGUAGCGUGAAGGAUGAAUGCCCUAUGGGUUGUAAACUUCUUUUAUAUGGGAAUAAAAUGUUCCACGUGUGGGAUUUGGUAUGUACCAUAUGAAUAAGCAUCGGCUAACUCCGUGCCAGCAGCCGCGGUAAUACGGAGGAUCCGAGCGUUAUCCGGAUUUAUUGGGUUUAAAGGGAGCGUAGGUGGGUUGCUAAGUCAGUUGUGAAAGCUUGCGGCUCAACCGUAGAAUGGCAGUUGAAACUGUUAGUCUGGAGUACAGUAGGGGUGGGCGGAAUUCGUGGUGUAGCGGUGAAAUGCUU